rnacentral:ribozyme from 14 species
CGAGUACUCCUUUUUUUUUUUUUCUUUUUUUUUUCUUUUUUUCUUUUUCUCAAAAACAAAAAAAGUCUUAAC